rnacentral:rRNA from 1 species
UACAGAGGGUGCGAGCGUUAAUCGGAAUCACUGGGCGUAAAGGGCGCGUAGGCGGCCUGAUAAGUAGGGGGUGAAAUCCUGCGGCUUAACCGCGGGGCUGCCUUCUAAACUGUCAGGCUCGAGCACAGUAGAGGCAGGUGGAAUUCCCGGUGUAGCGGUGGAAUGCGUAGAGAUCGGGAAGAACAUCAGUGGCGAAGGCGACUACCUGGCCUGUUCUUGACGCUGAGGCGCGAAAGCUAGGGGAGCAAACGGG